rnacentral:rRNA from 1 species
ACGGAAGGCAGCAGUGGGGAAUAUUGGGCAAUGGGGGAAACCCUGACCCAGCCACGCCGCGUGAAGGAAGAAGGCCUUCGGGUUGUAAACUUCUUUUACCAGGGACGAAAUUUGACGGUACCUGGAGAAAAAGCAACGGCUAACUACGUGCCAGCAGCCGCGGUAAUACGCAGGUUGCAAGCGCUGUCCGGAUUUACUGGGUGUAAAGGGCGUGUAGGCGGAGCUGCAAGUCAGAUGUGAAAUCCCGGGGCUCAACCCCGGAACUGCAUUUGAAACUGUAGCCCUUGAGUAUCGGAGAGGCAAGCGGAAUGCCUAGUGUAGCGGUGAAAUGCGUAGAUAUUAGGAGGAACACCAGUGGCGAAGGCGGCUUGCUGGACGACAACUGACGCUGAGGCGCGAAAGCGUGGGGAGCAAACAGGAUUAGAUACCCUGGUA